ensembl:lncRNA
GUUCGAUCAGUGUUGGCUGCACAUGACUCUUCUACGGGUCUAGCUGCCAAAAGCUAGAUCAGCUCCAGAACGGAACCUUCAGAGUCGAAGACCAUUGUUUAUUUUUUCCAUCUGGCGGAUUCGAUGUGUAUCUAAGCCGGACUACAACCUCCAGAGCAUCCCAAAGAGUACCGUCCCCUCUGAGAACACUCAGUAAACAUCUCUUGGGAAUGGCUGCUUCCUGGACGGAUUAGACAAGCAGAGAGGUCAGAGCAAAGGAAGAAGACACUGUGUGACAAGUCCAGGCAAAUGGAGAAAAAUGUGAUUUCUUCCCAUGAACUUGUGAAACUUUAGGAAAGUUUUAGUAUGCAUGAAAUCAUUGGUUUGAAUUGAACGUUUGUGGAAAUUUAACCAACAAGCUGAAUUUUGGAUCUAGAUCAGCAGAGGCUGAAACAAGGCAGCACACACAGAGCCAGGGCGAAGAUCACAUAUGGUAUGAGAUUUCGUCAGAAAUUUGUGGGGCGCAUGGAUCGUCCUGGUCAUCAAAAUGAGGAAGUCGUGCCUUUGGAGCACACAGAGUGACUUUGACUUCAUCCAGGAGGAGAACAAGGCUGAGUGAACAGUGCCACCCAGGAUGCUCAUCACAACAGUAAAGUGAAAGGAGGAAGUGAUGCAACAGUGCCAUUGUUCCAAAGUAGAAGGAAAAGCUGAACAGAAGGCUCUCUCUCCAGAAAAUCCUCAAAACACAAGACCCCCCUGCCAUGAGUUCUGACUUCUGCUGUUUUCUGAGAAAUGAUGAAAACUUCUCAUUCACUUGGACUGUGAUGAACGAGCGGUAGAAUUACCACAGCAGCAGGAUCUAUAAUAAAUUGAUAUUUCAUGCUCCUCUGAGAUGUUCUGACUUCUCUUACGAGCCGGGUCCUCCGUGCCCUGCCUGUGGGGAUGUCAGUGACAGUAAGGG